AUUCUUCUUUGGCUCUCAGCGAAGGCGGUCGCACUUUUCUCCUCUCCUGCCCUUAUCUUCCCUGCUUAUCUUCUUGUGUCCUUGUCUUGUCUGAGUUUUAUUACUUUCCCUGGAACACCCUCUCACAGUCUGUGUCUAAAACCUAAAAGAGAAUCAUGGAUUUGAUCAACUGGUCUCUGAAUGCUAUUGACACCAUUUUCUCAACGAGAAGCCCCGGCUCGGGAGAGCCUGAGUGCCCUGGAGGGACUUUCCCUGCCGGAUACACGAUGGACGGGUGGCAGAAAUGAAGGGUCGUGUGCCUGGCGGGACUGUCGAUCGAGGACGCCGAAGAUAUCUUUUUACUUCCUCCUCCUCUCCUCUCCUUUAGCUUCCCUGCUUAGCUUCUUGUGUCCUUGUCUAGUCUCGUGUUUUUUGUAUUACUUUUCCCUGGAACACUCUCUCACAGUCUGUUCUCUAAAACCUAAAAGAGGAAUUAUGGAUUUGAUCAACUGGUCCCUGAAUGCAAUUGACACCCCUUCUCAACGAGAAGUCUGGGCUUGGGUGAGCCUGACUGCUGAAGAUAUCUACCUAUUCGGAACCAUGAUAACAGGGUUCUUGCUGAUCGGAGCUGGCUUGGCCCUGGCUUAUCGUAGAAUUAAGAGAGCGGAACCGGCUGUUCAAACACCCACAAGGCUGCCCGCUGGAAUUGAAACGAUUGGACGAGGUGCGAGUUCUCAGAAAGGGCUCACUGAAUGCAGCAUGGUUAAGAGCUUGGAGGCGCUUACGACCGCAGUGAAUGCUCAAACUAACAGCUCUGAGCGUAUGUUGGAUUACAUCAGGAAAGAAUCCACCCAAAACAACAACUCAGGGAGGAAGUUGGAUUACAUCUCGGACCAGUUGGCUGCGGUCGUGAGGUCUCAGAAUCUGCUCUGUGAGCAACACAGUGACAAGAUCACGGGAUCGAUGGCUAAUAACAUCAUGGAGAAACUCGAAGCUAUAAAAAGGGAGAUUGAGAGACCAGUGUCGGACUGCUAAAAACAGCUUGAAAUUCUCAAAAGAAAAAUCACCAUCACAAUGCGGAUACCCCUUCGGUGCCAGCUGCGGGCUCAAGGCUAGAGCCGAACAAAAUCUCCCUGAUAACGACUGUGUUGAGUCUGUUCCUCCCCAUCCCAUGCAAGGCCACCUGAGUUGGCUGGAAGACUGUUUACUUAGCCUGGCAGGGCGAAGGACACUGUCUCAGCUGAACUCUGGACACACACACACAAAUACACAUACACUGAUAUGCACACACUGAUCCCCCCUCCCCUUCCAAACGCCUUCAAUGCUUGUGCCCUUCCGGGGAAGAUGGCAGUCGACUGGACCAGCGUAGACAUGCUGCAGGACCGGAAGCGCUAUCUACACCGGCUCUGUCUUACCCUUUACCCGCCCCUGUUGCUUGUCUUGUGUUUCUAUGGUGUAUUGAUAGUCAUGUGCUUUUUGUGCUGAGGUGUUUUUUCUGUUAUCAAACUGAUCUCCCACUAGGAGCUCAGUCUGAGUGGAGUUUUUUUUCUCCUCCUCUCUCCUCAUGUUACAUAUUUUCGUUGUUUUUUUCCUAUCAGCCUACCUUCUGGCAUGUCUCCCCAAUGUCAUGUUUGCGUAAAGUUGGUCAGAAGGUUCCUUUGUAAGUGCGCAUGCGCCAUUAGCGUGCUGCCUGCUGUAACCCUAAUUUCCCUCGGGAUCAAUAAAGUAUAUUGAUUGAUUGAUUGAUAAUGAUAAUACAUAAACAGUGUUUAGGACCAAAUAAUUGAAUAAAGUUUUAUAAUAAGAUGUUUCAAACUGUUUGGAUUGAUAAGACAGGCUGAGCUGACCACAGCUAUGUUUGCUCUAAUAAAAAGCUUUGAUAUGAAAUCACUUCACAGUCACACAUUUCAUGAACACAAAACAAGGAGACAAAAGUCAGGUUUGUUUUUAGUGUUAAUAAAUAUACUUUACUAUACACACCACAGGUCAUGUCAUUGAUUCACAGGGUCAAUCUGUAACAACUACAAACACACACUACUCAACCAGUUUGACCAGGAUGUUGACACAAACACACACACACACAACUCUGUUCCACAAACACGGAUCUGCUGAUGAUCCAGUGAUUUAUAAAAUCAUUAAAUUAAUGAUUUUUAAACCAUUUCAAAGAGAGAGCUUGAUUAGCAAAGUGUGAUACUCUUCAUGUGAGUCACGUUUCCAUAACCACAAAGCUGAUUUUAUAGAUCCUUUAAAAC
ensembl:lncRNA